rnacentral:rRNA from 1 species
UACGUAGGGUGCAAGCGUUUGUCCGGAAUUAUUGGGCGUAAAGAGCUCGUAGGCGGUCUGUCGCGUCUGCUGUGAAAACUCAGGGCUUAACCCUGAGCUUGCAGUGGGUACGGGCAGACUAGAGUGCGGUAGGGGAGACUGGAAUUCUUGGUGUAGCGGUGAAAUGCGCAGAUAUCAGGAGGAACACCGGUGGCGAAGGCGGGGUCUCUGGGCCGUAACUGACGCUGAGGCACGAAAGCGUGGGUAGCAAACAGG